rnacentral:rRNA from 1 species
GACGAACGCUGGCGGCGUGCUUAACACAUGCAAGUCGAACGGACAGGCCCUGCUUUUGUGGGGUGCUCGAGUGGCGAACGGGUGAGUAACACGUGAGUAACCUGCCCUUGACUUUGGGAUAACUUCAGGAAACUGGGGCUAAUACCGGAUAGGAGCUCCUGCUGCAUGGUGGGGGUUGGAAAGUUUCGGCGGUUGGGGAUGGACUCGCGGCUUAUCAGCUUGUUGGUGGGGUAGUGGCUUACCAAGGCUUUGACGGGUAGCCGGCCUGAGAGGGUGACCGGCCACAUUGGGACUGAGAUACGGCCCAGAAUCCUACGGGAGGCAGCAGGGGGGAAUAUUGCACAAUGGGCGGAAGCCUGAUGCAGCAACGCCGCGUGCGGGAUGACGGCCUUCGGGUUGUAAACCGCUUUCGCCUGUGACGAAGCGUGAGUGACGGUAAUGGGUAAAGAAGCACCGGCUAACUACGUG